UACGUAGGUGGCGAGCGUUGUCCGGAAUUACUGGGCGUAAAGGGAGCGUAGGCGGUUUUUUAAGUGGGAUGUGAAAUCCCCGGGCUUAACCUGGGAAUGGCAUUCCAAACUGGAAGACUAGAGUGCAGGAGAGGAAAGUGGAAUUCCAAGUGUAGCGGUGAAAUGCGUAGAGAUUUGGAGGAACACCAGUGGCGAAGGCGACUUUCUGGACUGAUACUGACGCUGAGGCUCGAGAGCGUGGGGAGCAAACAGG
rnacentral:rRNA from 1 species